UCGAUGGAAGUGGAGUCAAUAAUUCAAACAAGACCUGGUAUGAUUGUGCAAGGACAAACAAUGCAAUUGCAAGUGAAGGCAUCCACCAGCCCUGUUGCAUAUGAGAAACUUAAGAAUAUUCUUCUCAAAGAUGAAGAUAUCGUUCAUGCCUUUCGGAAACAGGAG